rnacentral:piRNA from 1 species
UCAAUUCUAAGGAAUUUCAGUUUGAUUUGC